rnacentral:rRNA from 1 species
CAAGUCGCACGAGAAAGUGGAGCAAUCCAUGAGUACAGUGGCGUACGGGUGAGUAACACGUGGGUAAUCUACCUCUUAGUGGGGAAUAACCCUGGGAAACCGGGGCUAAUACCGCAUAAUCUCGAGAGAGGAAAGCAGCAAUGCGCUGAGAGAGGAGCCCGCGGCCGAUUAGCUUGUUGGCAGGGUAAAAGCCUACCAAGGCAUAGAUCGGUAGCCGGCCUGAGAGGGCACACGGCCACACUGGCACUGAAACACGGGCCAGACUCCUACGGGAGGCAGCAGUGGGGAAUCUUGCACAAUGGGGGCAACCCUGAUGCAGCGACGCCGCGUGAGCGAUGAAGCCCUUCGGGGUGUAAAGCUCUUUCGUCAGGGAAGAUUAUGACGGUACCUGGAGAAGCAGCUGCGGCUAACUACGUGCCAGCAGCCGCGGUAAUACGUAGGCAGCGAGCGUUGUUCGGAGUUACUGGGCGUAAAGGGUGUGUAGGCGGUUGUUUAAGUUUGGUGUGAAAUCUCCCGGCUCAACUGGGAGGGUGCGCCGAAUACUGAAUGACUCGAGUGCGGGAGAGGAGAGUGGAAUUCCUGGUGUAGCGGUGAAAUGCGUAGAUAUCAGGAGGAACACCGGCGGUGUAGACGGCUCUCUGGACCGUAACUGACGCUGAGACACGAAAGCGUGGGUAGCAAACAGGAUUAGAUACCCUGGUAGUCCACGCCCUAAACGAUGCAUAUUUGGUGUGGGUCAUUCAGUUGAUCCGUGCCGGAGCUAACGCGUUAAAUAUGCCGCCUGGGGAGUACAGUCGCAAGGCUGAAACUCAAAGGAAUUGACGGGGGCCCGCACAAGCGGUGGAGCAUGUGGUUCAAUUCGACGCAACGCGAAGAACC